rnacentral:misc_RNA from 1 species
CGACAAGAUUGAAGAAGUAGAAAAUAAGCCCCAGUGCUGCGCGUCCACAAGAAACGGUCUUGUCCUAGACAGAGAAGCCAUACCCACGUAUUUCGCUCGUAUAUAUAUGCCACCUAAACGUCUCCUGUAUCUUGGGCUUCUCUCUGUGUUGUUUUUUUUUUUCUUUGUCUCCUCUCUCUCUAUUUUAUCUUUCUUCUUCCUUUCUUUCUCUCAGUUUCUGACUUCUUAUUAUUGAGUUCAAAAUCUUUAAAGAAAAUGCCUGCAACGGAGUACCAGUCAUCGUUUCUUAGGCGAAUCAGCAUCCGCCGGAACCAGGUGAUCUCCAUGGACGGCAACCAUGAGCAGGAACUCGAGGACCUUGAGCUUUUUCAGAAGCACGUGGCUGAUUGGUUCGCUGGUUUAUUGUCUCCGUCGGAGGAGCUCAUCUCCAGUGAACCUCUGAUGUCUAUUUCCUGGUUGAGGAAACUUGUGGAUGUGUUCUUGUGCUGCGAGGCUGAGUUCAACACUGUUCUUAUCAUGGGUCGCGACCCUUCACAAAUCUGCAAGCCACCGUUGGAUCGAUUGAUUCCUGAGCUCAUGGAACGAGCUGUUAAAGCUCUCGAUAUCUGUAAUGCAGUGUCCAGUGGGAUUGAUUCCGUGCGUCAGUGUAAAAGAUUCGCUGAAAUUGCUGUCUCUGCUUUGAAGCAGAAGCCAAUGGAUGAUGGGCAAGUAAAGCGAGCGAGAAAGGCCUUGAAUUCUUUGUUAACUGCGAUGAAGGUAGAUGAUAAGGAGAAAGAUUUUAAGGGUGCAGAGAGAACAUGGUCUUUCGGGAGGAGAGGAAAUACCAAUCCUUUUCAUAAGGAGCGAGCUGCACGCUACUUCCGAUCUCUUUCCAUGAUCAUCGCUAAAAAUUGGUCUGCUUCUAAGCAGAUUCAGGCAAUGUCUUCCAAUCUCGUGCCUCCUCGAGGUGGAGAACCCACAGGACUUGCAUUACCUGUUUAUGUAAUGAGCUCUGUUAUGGUGUUUGUGAUGUGGGCUCUGGUGGCUGCUAUGCCUUGUCAAGAGAGGAGUGGAUUGGCAACACACUUUCAGAUUCCGAGGCAAUUGACGUGGGCACACAGCAUGAUUGGGCUUCAAGAGAAGAUUGGGGAGGAAUGGAAGAAGAAAGAGAAAAAAGGUUCGGUUGGGUUGCUGGAGGAGAUGCAGAAGAUGGAGAAGUUGGCAUUGAGUUUGAUUGAAUUUGCUGAUGGAUUUCAGUUUCCUGGGGACACAGAGAAGAUGGAGGAGGUGGCAUCGCAGGUGGCGGAGCUCGCAGAGAUUUGCGGGAAAAUGGAAGAAGGUUUGGUGCCUUUGCAGACGCAGAUUAGAGAGGUUUUUCAUAGGAUUGUAAGGAGCAGAGCAGAGAUUCUUGAAGUGUUGGAGCAUGCUGCCAAAAUUUCUCAACCUACAACAUAACGUGAGCACACAGCUAAAUUGUUCUAAAUUUUUAAGCAAAACAGCAGUCUUUGAAGCUUGGAUUUUUUUUUUUUUUUGAGGUAAUUAAUGAUCCCUGGUUCAAAUUGUUCAUGGUUGUAUGAACUAUGUAAAUGUUGAACCUAAAAUGUGGAUUUUCAUAGGCAUAUUGCUCCAGCCACCAGGUUUUGUGGCGAAGUAUGCAUUUCUAGGUGUGAAUUGUACUUUCUUGUUUUACUCGACCUAAUUUCUUCUCUUGUGGAGUAGAGAAAUGUAAAUAUUUAAUUUAAGGUUCUUUUUGUCCUUGAGAUUGUUCAACAGAUUCUUUGUUCUUGAUAGUUUUAGUUUGUGGUGCUGGAAAUUUGAAUUUACUCAGG